GAUGAACGCUGGCGGCGUGCCUAAUACAUGCAAGUCGAGCGAACAGACGAGGAGCUUGCUCCUCUGACGUUAGCGGCGGACGGGUGAGUAACACGUGGAUAACCUACCUAUCAGACUGGGAUAACUUCGGGAAACCGGAGCUAAUACCGGAUAAUAUAUUGAACCGCAGGGUUCAAUAGUGAAAGACGGUUUUGCUGUCACUUAUAGAUGGAUCCGCGCCGCAUUAGCUAGUUGGUAAGGUAACGGCUUACCAAGGCGACGAUGCGUAGCCGACCUGAGAGGGUGAUCGGCGACCCUGGAACUGAGCCACGGUCCAGACUCCUACGGGAGGCAGCAGUAGGGAAUCUUCCGCAAUGGGCGAAAGCCUGACGGAGCAACGCCGCGUGAGUGAUGAAGGUCUUCGGAUCGUAAAGCUCUGUUAUUAGGGAAGAACAAAUGUGUAAGUAACUAUGCACGUCUUGACGGUACCUAAUCAGAAAGCCACGGCUAACUACGUG
rnacentral:rRNA from 1 species